rnacentral:rRNA from 1 species
AUGUGUGUUCCUAAACGACAAGUAGGUAUGGGUUUCAGAGACAUCCAUUGUUUUAAUCUUGCUCUUUUGGCAAAGCAGGCCUGGAGACUAAUUGAAAACCCGGACUCCCUGUGUGCACGUAUUUUGAGAGCAAAGUACUUUCCUGAUGGUGAUCUGUUAAAUUGCAAGUUGAAAAAGAAUUCCUCCUACACUUGGCAGAGCAUUAUGCAAGGGGUGAAUACCCUGAAACAUGGAUACAUUUGGAGAGUAGGGGAUGGUGAAAAAAUAAAUAUUUGGAGGGAUGCAUGGAUUCCUAACUCACCAUCCAGAAUGAUUAUUACCCCAAGGGGUAACCAGUUACUAUCAAAGGUGAGUGAUUUAAUUGAUCCAGCUACAGGUCAGUGGGAUGUGCCACUUGUGGAGCAAACCUUCUGGCCGAUUGAUGUGGAACGGGUCCUUUCUUUACCACUACCCACACAUGAUAUGAGUGAUUUUGUAGCAUGGAGUUUGAAUAAACAUGGA